UAUCCCCCUACUCACUAUCCCCUACUCACUAACCCCCUCAUCACUGCUGGACUCUACUCACUAUCCCCCUACUCACUAUCCCCUACUCACUAUCCCCUACUCACUAACCCCCUCAUCACUGCUGGACUCUACUCACUAUCCUUCUACCCACUAUCCCCCUACUCACUAUCCCCUACUCACUAACCCCCUCAUCAUGUGCUCAGUCGCUGAUAUUUGAUAACUUUGUCCAACUACCAAAGGAAUCAAGAAGACAAAGAUAGCUCCUCCAAGCCCUUCAGUAGGUCCAGUAGGUCUCCAGUAGGUCUAGGGUCUUCAGUAGGUCCAGGGUCUCCAGUAGGUCCACAAGAGUUCAAUUGUGCUGUAAAAUGUCAAAUGAUUAUUCCGAUAAUUAUUUUAAUAGUAUUGAUUAUGCCAUCAAUUUCCAUUUAUCCAUGAUUUGCUAAUCAGUCAGUAUGGCUUAGAUUUUUCUUAUACAGUUAUGUUUAUUUGCAUAUAUAUGAAUAAUUUCUUUUUUUUUAUAAAUACCUUUAACCUUGAACAUGAGUAUAAUUAAAUGUUAAAUACAUA